UACGUAGGUGGCAAGCGUUGUCCGGAUUUACUGGGCGUAAAGAGCGCGCAGGCGGUCGGAUAAGUCGAAUGUGAAAGCCCCCGGCUCAACUGGGGAGGGUCAUUCGAUACUGUUCGACUCGAAGGCAGGAGAGGGAAGUGGAAUUCCCGGUGUAGUGGUGAAAUGCGUAGAUAUCGGGAGGAACACCAGUGGCGAAGGCGACUUCCUGGCCUGUUCUUGACGCUGAGGCGCGAA
rnacentral:rRNA from 1 species